rnacentral:rRNA from 1 species
AUUGAACGCUGGCGGCAGGCCUAACACAUGCAAGUCGAGCGAGCGGCGGACGGGUGAGUAAUGUAUGGGGACUGCCCGAUAGAGGGGGAUAACUACUGGAAACGGUGGCUAAUACCGCAUACUCUCGGCUAACCCCUUUGGGAUUGGCUAGUAGGUGGGGUAAAGGCUCACCUAGGCGACGAUCUCUAGCUGGUCGGAGAGGAUGAUCAGCCAGACUGGGACUGAGACACGACCCGGACACCGACGGAGGCAACAGUGGAGAAUAUUGCAGAAGGGGCGCAAGCCUGAUGCAGCCAUGCCGCGUGUAUGAAGAAGGCCUUAGGGUUGUAAAGUACUUUCAGCGGGGAGGCGUUACCCGCAGAAGAAGCACCGGCUAACUCCGUGCCAGCAGCCGCGGUAAUAC